rnacentral:rRNA from 1 species
UCGCCUGUUUAUCAAAAACAUGGUUUUUUGGUUUUAUGAAAGAUCUGGCCUGCCCAAUGAUUGUAUUUAAUGGCUGCAGUAUUUUGACUGUACAAAGGUAGCAUAAUCAUUUGUGUCUUAAUUGGAUUCUGGAAUGAAUGGUUGGAUGAGAAAUCUACUUUCUUUGGUUUAUUUUCAAAAACUUGAUUUCUAAGUGAAAAAGCUUAGAUUAGGUUAGAGGACGAGAAGACCCUAUAGAACUUUAUUGAUCUUCUGAGAUAGAAAUGUUGGAAAUAUUGCUUUAUUUCGGUUGGGUGAAUUUUGUUGGGGUGACAGAAAAAAUUUUAUAACUUUUUAGGCUUGUAUCAUUUAUGUAUGAUAUUUUGAUCUUGUUUUAUGGCAAAAAGACUAAGUUACCUUAGGGAUAACAGCGUUAUUGUUUCGGAGAGUUCAUAUUGAUGAAACAGUUUGCGACCUCGAUGUUGAAUUAAAAAUAGUCCCAGGAGUAUAGCAUUGGUGACUAGGUCUGUUCGCCUUUGGAUUUUUACAUGAUCUGAGUUCAAACCGGAGA